rnacentral:miRNA from 1 species
AUCACAGUGUGGCUGAGGGAU